rnacentral:SRP_RNA from 1 species
GCCGGGCGUGGUGGCGCGUGCCUGUAGUCCCAGCUAUUCGGGAGGCUGAGGCUGGAGGAUCUCUUGAGUCCAGGAGUUCUGGGCUGUAGUGUGCUAUGCUGAUCGGGUGUCCACACUUAGUGCGGCAUCAAUAUGGUGACUUCCCGGGAGCGGGGGACCACCAGGUUGCCUAAGGAGGGGUGAACCGGCCCAGGUCAGAAAUGGAGCAGUUCAAAACUCCCAUGCUGAUCAGUAGUGGGAUUGCACCUGUGAAUAGCCACUGUACUCCAGCCUGGGCAACACAGCGAGACCCCAUCUCA